rnacentral:rRNA from 1 species
CCUACGGGGCGCACCAGAGGGGAAUAUUGCACAAUAGGCGCAAGCCUGAUGCAGCCAUGCCGCGUGUAUGAAGAAGGCCUUCGGGUUGUAAAGUACUUUCAGCGGGGAGGAAGGCGAUAGGGUUAAUAACCUUGUCGAUUGACGUUACCCGCAGAAGAAGCACCGGCUAACUCCGUGCCAGCAGCCGCGGUAAUACGGAGGGUGCAAGCGUUAAUCGGAAUUACUGGGCGUAAAGCGCACGCAGGCGGUCUGUCAAGUCGGAUGUGAAAUCCCCGGGCUCAACCUGGGAACUGCAUUCGAAACUGGCAGGCUGGAGUCUUGUAGAGGGGGGUAGAAUUCCAGGUGUAGCGGUGAAAUGCGUAGAGAUCUGGAGGAAUACCGGUGGCGAAGGCGGCCCCCUGGACAAAGACCGACGCUCAGGUGCGAAAGCGUGGGGAGCAAACAGGAUUAGAUACCCCAGUAGUC